CCCGCCCACCCGCGGGCGGUCUCGAACCCGCGGCGCUCGGGUUUCCAACCCCACCUCGGUGUUCAGACGAUGCUCUUCGAGGAGCCGAGAAGCUACUAGGAUGAAAUUAGGAGAGAAAUCCAAAUUUCUCUUUACAUUUCUUCCCUCCCCUGCUGCUUCCAGGCCUGCUCCCACCUCCAGAAGAAUUCCAGCAGGAUCUUUAUCCCCCAGGGGAACAAAAACCAGCCCCCCAGGUUGAGUGGGAUGAUGGGCUGGUCCACCCAUGCCGGGGCCCACAGAGGACAGCAGCACUGAAAUGGACAACUUCUGGGCACCAUCUGCAUCUCCUGCUUGUGAUGUGACUCGUCAGAGCAGCACUCAUGCCAGAGGCACCGGCAGCAUGCACAGCUCCACAGGAGAGCUUGGGAAAUUGCGACACAGGAAAUUACACCUCCAGCCCCGGGGAAGAGUUUGGGUGCUCCCUUGGAUGUCACCGGAGCGUGACCCCCUGCGUUGGCCCCCCCUGGACUUGUGCUUUGCUCCUGCAGCUAAGAAAACAAGAUCUCCUGCAAGAUCUCACCACAAGGAGAGGGGCUGUCCCUGCUCAGAUCACAGAAUCACGGAAUGGUUAGGGUCGGAAAGGACCUCAAAACCCAUCCAGGUCCAUGGGGAGGGACACCUUGCACUGAAUCGGGUUGUUCAAAGCCCCGUCCAACCUGGCCUUGAACACCUCCAGGGAUGGGGAAGACACCACUGCUCUGGGCAACCUGGGCCAGGACUUCCCCACCCUCACCGUGAAGAAUUUCUUCCUAAUGUCUAAUCUAAAUCUUCCCCCUUCCAAUUUAAAGGAAUUUCCCCUAUCACUCAUCCUAUCAGUCCAGACCCUUGGAAAAAGUCUCUUCCCAACUUUCCUAGAGCCCCUUCAGGGCUGGAAGGCCACUCUAAGGUCUCCCUGGAGUCUUCUCUUCUCCAGGCUGAACAAACCCUCUCAGGCUGUCGUAGCAGAGGUGCUCCAGCCCUUGGAUCAUCUUUGUGACCUUCUCUGGACCGACUCCAACAGUUCCAUCUCCUUCAUGUGCUGGAGUUUCAACAUCGGAUGCGAGGAGAGCCCCCCUCAAACCCCAGUGGACCAUGCAGUGUUAUCUUAGAGGAGAUCAGCAGAUUUGGCUCCCCAUCAUCUCUGCAACGUUCCAUUAAAUGGCACCAAGACAGUUUAUCCGCUGCUUACAUGUGUUUAAGACGUUAACUUACUAACACAAUAAAACUGCUACCAUGAAGCUUUCCUGCCUCCUUUCCCACAUGGAGACCAUCAUUGUUGGAAGCAUCUGGACACCUCAUAUGGAAAUACCUGGGGUUGCUUUUCAUAUAUGAAUCACUUGGGAUCCCCCUUCCAGCAUUUCCCAACCUUGGCUGGAGGACAGGGAGUUCAGAGAAGGGGAACGGACCUGGGGAAGGGACUGGAGAACAAAUCUUAUGAGGAGCAGCUGGGGUUGUUUUUCCUGGAGAAAAGGAUGCUAAGGAGAGACCCUAUCACUGUCUACAACUGCCCGAGAGGAGGUUGUGGUGAGAUGGGUGUCGGUCUCUUCACCCAAGUGACAGGCGAUAGGAUGAGAGGGAAUGGCCUCAAGUUGCACCAGGGCAGGUUCAGAUUGGACAUCAGGAAAAAUGUCUUCACACAAAGGGUUCUGAGGCCCUGGCAGAGGCUGUCCAGGGAGGUGGUGGAGUCCCCAUCCCUGGUUGUGUUUAAAAGCCGUGUAGAUGAGGUGCUCAGGGAUCUGGUUUAGUAGUGGACAGGUAUGGUUGAGCUUGAUGAUCUCCAAGAUCUUUUUCAACUAAGCAAUUCUAUGAUUCAAAGUAAUGGGGUUAAGGGCCAGUCCUGGGGUGAAGUCAUCUCAUCCUGCCUGGGCACCUGGGGCGCUGGGUGGUGCUGGGUGGGCUGCGUGCUGGUGGUCUCCAACAACAAUGCUCUGAAACAUAGGAUCAUAGAAUGGUUCGGGUUGGAAGGGACAUUAAAGCCCAUCCAGUUCCACCCGCUCCCAUGGACAGGGACACCUCCCACUGGAUCAGGUUGCUCCAAGCCCCAUCCAACCUGGUCUUGAACACCUCCAGGGAUGGGGCAGCCACAGCUUCUCUGGGCAACCUGAGCCACGGCCUCCCCACCCUCAGAGUGACGAAUUUCUUCCUAACGCCUCAUCUAAAUCUUCUCCUUUCCAACUUCAAGCCAUUCCCCCUCAUCUUCUCACUCAGUGAAUCGGUAACUCCUCCUCCCACUUCGCUUUGGAAGUGGUCGGAGGGGGACCCUGGCUGAUUCAUGUAUUUAUUUUCCCCGGUGCCAUACGAAAGGCAACCCCGGGUGUUCCCAUGCCUAGGUGCUUCCAACACUGACAUUCUCCAGGAGAAAAAUAGGCAGGAAAGCUUCUUAGCAGCAGUUUUAUUGUGUUAAUAAGUUUGGCGUCUAUAAGCAACAUAUGUAAAUGACUGAUAUACUGUCUUGAUGCCAUUUAACAUUAUGUUGCGGAGGUGAGCGGGAGCCAAGUCUGCAGCAUUUCGACUAAUACGUGAGGAGCUGCCAAUUCUGGUGGGGUUUUUUUUCUUUCCUCCUUUUUUUCCCCCUUUUUUUUUUCAAUUUAAACAAGUUAGCAAUCUGCCUGCGCCAAAAUAAUGACUUGGACCCUUCCGUCUCCGUUGCCGUUUCUUGGAAAAUGGGUAAAUAUUGUGUUCAUUUAGCCCUGGCGGCAGCUCGAGUCCCCAGCGCUGGGAUGGAAAAUCUCAUCUUGCCGGGUAUCCCGAUCCUCAUUGCUGCGGUGGAGGGGAGGAAAGAGUAGACCAUGGCUGUUGG